AUGGUAUUGGACUCGGUACAAACUGAUGUUAUUCAGUUAAACAGAACCAUCAAGGACGCAUCAGUUGAAUCUGGUGGUGUGCAGCAAAAGUUUGAUCUCCUAGAGGAUACACUUCAGAAAAUUAUUAAAGGACAAAAUGAUCUCAAAGUACUUGCUGAAAACAGCAUGAAAAGCAACUCUGAUCAGCUCAAUGUUCUCAACUCUCGCA